CCAUCUAUAGUCUAAGGGAAAGACAUUUGGUUUUCGACCGAAGUAUAGGGGUUCGAGUCCCCUUAGAAGGA
rnacentral:tRNA from 1 species